UGAUUUUAUACUGAUUCAAUGGCCGCGGUAUUUUGACCGUGCUAAGGUAGGACAAUAACUUGCCUCUUAAUUAGGGGAUGGCAUGAAUGGUUGAACGUGAGCUGUCCUGUCUCUAGAGUAGUAAUUAGAAUUUAAGUUUUAAGUGAAAACGCUUAAAUGGUACUAAUAGACGAGAAGACCCUAUUGAGUUUAACACACCUUAGUAUAGUAACAAGUCUCUUGUUAUUACCUCGCAGUGUUUUUAAUUGGGGCUAGUGAAGGAACAGUAAAAAAUUCUUUGUAUGAUUAGUGUUGUUAAUGCUAGGUUGCAUUAAGUUUUAAAGCUAUUAUUUUAUAGCCCGGCAAGGUUACAUGGGCUCCAUUCUGGUGUUAGAGUGAGCAAAGGAGAAAAUUAUCAUAGGGAUAACAGCGUAAUUCCUUUUGAAGAGCACACAUUGUAGAAAGGGGUUGUGACCUCGAUGUUGGAUUAGGGGAUUCGAGAGAUG
rnacentral:rRNA from 1 species